AGAAUGAACGCUGGCGGCGUGCUUAACACAUGCAAGUCGAACGGAAUACAAGGAGCUUGCUCCGAACUAUUUAGUGGCGAACGGGUGAGUAUCACGUGAGCAACCUGCCCCGAAGACUGGGAUAACACCGGGAAACCGGUGCUAAUACCGGAUGUCUUUCAAUGAUCGCAUGAUUGAUGAAAGAAAUGUUUUUUCGCUUUGGGAGGGGCUCGCGGUCCAUCAGCUUGUUGGCGGGGUAACGGCCCACCAAGGCUACGACGGGUA
rnacentral:rRNA from 1 species